AUUGAACGCUGGCGGCAGGCCUAACACAUGCAAGUCGAGCGAGCGGCGGACGGGUGAGAAAUGUCUGGGAAAGUGCCUGGUGGAGGGGGAAAACUACGGGAAACGGUAGAAAACACCGCAUACCAAAAAAUGUGCCCAGAGGGGAUUAGAGUGUAGGUGGGGUAAUGGCUCACCUAGGAGACGAUCCCUAGCUGGUCUGAGAGGAUGAACAGCCACACUGGAACUGAGACGCGGUCCAGACUCCUACGGGAGGCAGCAGUGGGGAAUAUUGCACAAUGGGCGCAAGCCUGAUGCAGCCAUGCCGCGUGUGUGAAGAAGGCCUUCGGGUUGUAAAGCACUUUCAGCGGGGAGGCGUUACUCGCAGAAGAAGCACCGGCUAACUCCGUGCCAGCAGCCGCGGUAAUAC
rnacentral:rRNA from 1 species